UAUUAUCAUAAAAAUUACAUCUUUAAACAUUAUGUGCCCAUCAGCACAGAUUUACAACUCUUCUUUAUAAAAUUUUUUAAAUAAGAUAGGAAAAAAAAACUGAAAACAAAACAUGCAUUGAAACUUUUUAAGUAUAUACUUUCAUAGUUACCUUUAUUGAGACUCUAUUUCUUCAUGUGAAAUGGUUACUGUCUUGUAUUCUUCCAGUUCAGCCUGAUGGAAUCCCUGUAGUAUUUCUUGUAUGACAGAUUUGAUAAUGAUAAAUUCUCUUAGUUUUUGUUUAUUGGGCAAUGUCUUAAUUUCUCCCUUAUUUUUAAAGGGCUUUUGUUUCUGGACAGAGAAUUUUUGGUUGAUAGUCCUUUUCUUUCAGCACUUUAAAUGUGCUAUACCAGUUAUUUCUGGCCUCCAUGGUUUUUAAGUAGAAAUUAGCUUUUAAUUUUAUGAGAAAACCCUGGUACAUGAUAAAUCUUUUCUUCUCUCCUUUCUUUCAAAAUUCUCUAUUUGUCUUUGAUUGUCAACAGUUUAAUCAUGAAAUGUCUAGCCUUGGGUCUCUGAGUUUAUUCUACCUGGAGUAUGCUGAGCUUCUUAAAUGUGUAAAUUAAUGCUUUUCAUCAAAUUUUGGAAGUUUUUUCGAUUACCUCCUAAAAUAUUCUUUCUACACUUUUUUCUCUCUCCUCUCUUUCUGGGGCAUUCAUUAUUCAUAUAUUGAUAUGCUUGAUGGUAUUUCAUAGGUCUUUAAGGCUCUGUACAUUUCUCUUCAUGAUUUUUGUUUUUUAGAAUAUAUAAUUUCAAUUGGCUGCUUUUCAUAUUUGACUUAUAUUUUCUAUUUGCUAAGACUUAAUUUUGAUACUUCCUUUUCAUUCCAUAGACAUAGUUUCUCUUAGUUCUUUGAACAUAUUUAACAUAGCAGUUUAAAUUCUUUCUCUAGGAAUUCUAGUGUCUGGGCUUCCUCAGAAACAGUUUCUAUUGAUUUAUUUUUCCCCUUGUUUAUGGGCCAGACAUUCUCAUUCCUUUGCCUGUCUCACAAUUUGUUGUUGAAAACUGGAUAUUUUAAACAAUAGAAUAUGUCAGCUGUAGAAGUUAGAUUCUCCUCUCUCAUCAGGCCUUGUUGUUGCUAAUUUUUUUUUUUUUUUUUUUGUCUUUUUGUCUUUUGUUGUUGUUGUUGCUAUCUCUUGGGCCGCUUCCGCGGCAUAUGGAGGUUCCCAGGCUAGGGGUCGAAUCGGAGCUGUAGCCACCGGCCUACGCCAGAGCCACAGCAACGCGGGAUCCGAGCCACGUCUGCAACCUACACCACAGCUCACGGCAACGCCGGAUCGUUAACCCACUGAGCAAGGGCAGGGACCGAACCCGCAACCUCAUGGUUCCUAGUCGGAUUCGUUAACCACUGCGCCACGACGGGAACUCCUGUUGUUGCUAAUUUUUAGUGACUUUUUGAAAAGUCUCCCAGUCUUUGUCAAGAGAUUUUGUGCUCAUACGGGGGCAUCCCUUCAACACUCAGUGAGGCUAUUGAAAACUCCUGCUUAGCCUUUAUUUCCUGCUUAUGUAGAGUUUCAAAGUCAACCAGAAUUGAGAGCCUUAAGGACUUCUCAGGUCUUUCGUGAGCAUGCACGUACUUCUGGACAUGUGCACAGUUACCAUAUAUGCAUACAGUCCUUUAGAUUUCUAGGAAUAUGUUGGAACUUUUCAGUGUCCUGAUGGACAUCUCAUUCCUUACCUUUCCUUUUUAGGCUUUUUAGGCAACCUGUUUUUGCUCCAACUGUUAUACACCACUGCAGGCAGCCACAAAUAUUAAAUAAUUGCCUCUCAUUGUUUUUGAUAAAUGGCCUGAGGAAAAGUCUUUUCCCACUGAGUGAACUUGAAAGAGAUUGAAUAAAGACAGCAUUGCAAAUAGAAUCUUCCAGAGAGUCACUAGAUAUGUCAAAUAAUAACAAUUUUCUGAGAAUGAGCUUUGAAGGAACUCCAACUUCUUUUUGUGACUGCUAGGCUGCUAGCUUUGCUGUGUUUUUAAGGUUAUUGUGCAGUUGAAGAGGGUGGGAGAAUUGGGAAUGCAGCAAGUUAAAAAUGCCACAAUGUUUGCUCUUCUUACUAAGAUACUGCUAUUUUUUUUAUUAAUGAAUGCUCUCCAGAUUUUUGCACUUCUUUGGUUAAUUUCCAGAGUUCUGAAAAAAUUAAUCCUAGGGUUUUUUUUUUUUAACCAGUCUUUCCAUUACUUUUAUGGAGGAAACAAUUUUCAAAGGUCUUUUAUCCCACCAUUUUGUUGAUAUCAUUCACCCUUCUGUAUUGAAGUAUAUGAACAUAGAUCCUUAAUUUCUCAUGUUAAUUCAGAAGUUUUAAUGAAGAUGACCAUAACCUUCACAAGGGUACCCAAGGUACCUUUUCUUUGCAAAUAAAGAUGCUCUGCUGAAGAAAGUUAUCCAGCCUUUAACCAGUAAAUGUAGCUUUGUAGAUGUAGCUCCAGCAAAUGAAAACUUAAGCAACAGUUUAAAAAGGAAAGCUUUGUAGAGAUUUAGCAAGGACUUUUUUUUUUUUUUUUCUUUUUAGGGCCUCACUUAACAGCAUAUGGACGUUCCCAGGCUAGGGGUUAAAUUGUAGCCACAGCUGCCAACCUACACCACAGCCACAGCAAUGCCAGAUCCCUGACUCACUGAGUGAGGCCAGGGAUCCAACCCACAUCCUCAAGGAUACUAGUCAGGUCAUUUCUGUUGCAUCACAAUGGGAACUCUGGCAUGGACUCUUUAAAGGAACAAAGUGGAAGUUCAUUUUAGCUAAAAUGUGAGUGAGGACUAAAUUAGCAAUAUGCAUAACUGGUUUCAACCCAUGUUAAUGUUGUGUUUCCAUCUGUCUUUAUUACAUCACCUCAAAAAAGUUUAAUAUAUUAAAAGAAAUAAAAAGCAAUCAUUUCAGUUCUUUAUGGAAACAAACCUACUGCUUUAAAAGCACAAUUUGUUAUUUUAGAAGACAGCCCUUUUGGCUGAGCCCUUUUAUGAGUUAGAAAACAUGCUAUUUUUGCCAAACACAACAAAAAUAUAUUCUAAUAUUUGGUAGUUGAUUGUAUUGUCCACAUAGAUUGUUAAGUAAUGUAAUGUUUGUGUUAUAGUGAAGUUCCAAAUUUCUGGGUUACUUCUUGGAGAGAUUUGUUCCUGCUUCAUGAUGUUAUGAAGCAUGAAUAAUAAAUGCUUUCUCUUUAGACAUAAGAAAUAUCCUGAAAGAAUUUGUUUCAAUACAUUUUUUUCUGGUGGACAGUUUUUUAUUUCCAAACAGCAAGUUUACAUAAUAUCUCUAAACCCACAUGUUCACAGAAGGUUUCAGUUGCAUCAAUAAAACCAUCAUUAAAAUUACAAGGCUCAAUAAAAGACAUUUUUCUGUUUGAGUUUUUAGAUCAUAUUUUAUGAGUUUUAUGACUGUGUUGCUAGCAGUGUGUAAGAAAUGUGAUUGUAGAGCUUAGAUGUGGAACAUUCUCUACUACCCUACAUGCUAUCCUGCUCACAUCACACUCUUAAGUGAGAAUCCUGAUGAAAUGCCAGACAAAGUUCUAAAUACUUUUACAUGUAAAACUGUUCUAAACACUCUUAUGUAUAUACAGGUUACUAAUUGAAUUCACAUGUCACAUAUGAGCAAACAGUUAUAGAAAGGCCAAGUAACUUGCCCAAGAUCACAUACUUAAGUAAAUAGUUAUGUUAAAUUUACAUAAACCGUGUUCAGUAGAAGUAUAAUGUGUUUAUUCAUGUUUAUUCAAACACUUGUAUUUAUGUGGCUGUUCCAGGAAGCUUCAGUUCUUCGACACGUGGUCCACUCUGUAGGGUUUCCCCUGAGUGAGUGAUAUGAGCAAGCCCAAAACAGAAACCAGAGUCUUCUAUAACCUAAUCUCAGAAGUGACAUACUAUCAUUUCUUCUCUAUUCUUUUGAUCACACAGACAAAUCUGGUGCAGUCUGUGAAGGGACUGCACAAGGGUGUGAUUACCAGGCGACAGGGGCAGGAAUCACUAGGACCAUCUUGAAGGCCACCUAGCACAGAUAUUUUUG
rnacentral:lncRNA from 1 species